rnacentral:rRNA from 1 species
UACGAAGGGGGCUAGCGUUGUUCGGAAUUACUGGGCGUAAAGCGCACGUAGGCGGCUUUGUAAGUUAGAGUUGAAAGCCCGGGGCUCAACCCCGGAAUUGCCUUUAAGACUGCAUCGCUAGAAUUGUGGAGAGGUAAGUGGAAUUCCGAGUGUAGAGGUGAAAUUCGUAGAUAUUCGGAAGAACACCAGUGGCGAAGGCGACUUACUGGACACAUAUUGACGCUGAGGCGCGAAAGCCAGGGGAGCAAACGGG